rnacentral:rRNA from 1 species
AGUGAACGCUGGCGGUAGGCCUAACACAUGCAAGUCGAACGGCAGCACAGUAAGCGCUUGCUCUUACGGGUGGCGAGUGGCGGACGGGUGAGGAAUACAUCGGAAUCUACUUUUUCGUGGGGGAUAACGUAGGGAAACUUACGCUAAUACCGCAUACGUCCUACGGGUGAAAGCAGGGGAUCUUCGGACCUUGCGCGAUUGAAUGAGCCGAUGUCGGAUUAGCUAGUUGGCGGGGUAAAGGCCCACCAAGGCGACGAUCCGUAGCUGGUCUGAGAGGAUGAUCAGCCACACUGGAACUGAGACACGGUCCAGACUCCUACGGGAGGCAGCAGUGGGGAAUAUUGGACAAUGGGCGCAAGCCUGAUCCAGCCAUACCGCGUGGGUGAAGAAGGCCUUCGGGUUGUAAAGCCCUUUUGUUGGGAAAGAAAAGCAGCAGGUUAAUACCCCGCUGUUCUGACGGUACCCAAAGAAUAAGCACCGGCUAACUUCGUG